GCAAGUCGAGGGGCAGCAUGAAGUUUGCUUGCAAACUUUGAUGGCGACCGGCGCACGGGUGAGUAACGCGUAUCCAACCUUCCCUAUAGUAGAGAAUAGCCCGGCGAAAGUCGGAUUAAUGCUCUAUGUUAUUCAAAGCGGACAUCUAAUUUGAAUCAAAGGUUCACCGCUAUAGGAUGGGGAUGCGUCUGAUUAGCUUGAUGGCGGGGUAACGGCCCACCAUGGCGACGAUCAGUAGGGGUUCUGAGAGGAAGGUCCCCCACAUUGGAACUGAGACACGGUCCAAACUCCUACGGGAGGCAGCAGUGAGGAAUAUUGGUCAAUGGGCGAGAGCCUGAACCAGCCAAGUAGCGUGCAGGAUGACGGCCCUAUGGGUUGUAAACUGCUUUUAUGCGGGGAUAAAGUCGGCUACGCGUAGCCGUUUGUAGGUACCGCAUGAAUAAAGACCGGCUAAUUCCGUGCCAGCAGCCGCGGUAAUACGGAAGGUCCGGGCGUUAUCCGGAUUUGUUGGGUUUAAGGGGAGCGCAGGCCGGAGGUCAAGCGUGACGUGAAAUGUAGCCGCUCAACGGCUGAGUUGCGUCGCGAACUGGUUUCCUUGAGUGAGUACGACGUCAGCAGAAUUCGUGGUGUAGCGGUGGAAUGCUUAGAUAUCACGAAGAACCCCGAUUGCGAAGGCAGCUGACGAGUCCUUUACUGACGCUAAAGCUCGAAGGUGCGGGUAUCGAACAGGAUUAGAUACCCUGGUAGUCCGCACGGUAAACGAUGGAUGCCCGCUGUUUGCGAUAUAUUGUAAGCGGCCAAGCGAAAGCGUUAAGCAUCCCACCUGGGGAGUACGCCGGCAACGGUGAAACUCAAAGGAAUUGACGGGGGCCCGCACAAGCGGAGGAACAUGUGGUUUAAUUCGAUGAUACGCGAGGAACCUUACCCGGGCUUGAACUGCAGGAGAACGAUCCAGAGAUGGUGAGGCCCUUCGGGGCUCCUGUGGAGGUGCUGCAUGGUUGUCGUCAGCUCGUGCCGUGAGGUGUCGGCUUAAGUGCCAUAACGAGCGCAACCCCUUUCGCCAGUUGCCAUCAGGUGAUGCUGGGCACUC
rnacentral:rRNA from 1 species